rnacentral:misc_RNA from 1 species
GAUGAAGAACGUAGUAAAAUGCGAUACUUGGUGUGAAUUGCAGAAUCCCGUGAACCAUCGAGUUUUUGAACGCAAGUUGCGCCCGAAGCCUUUUGGCCGAGGGCACGUCUGCCUGGGCGUCACGCAUCGCGUCGCCCCCCCCCCAAUUCUCUGUAAAGGGAACUCGUGUUUUGGGGGCGGAUAUUGGUCUCCCGUGCUCAUGGCGUGGUUGGCCGAAAUAGGAGUCCCUUCGAUGGACGCACGAACUAGUGGUGGUCGUAAAAACCCUCGUCUUUUGUUUCGUGCUGUCAGUCGCGAGGGAAACUCUAAGAAAACCCCAACGUGUCAUCUUUUGACGGCGCUUCGACCGCGACCCCAGGUCAGGCGGGACUACCCGCUGAGUUUAAGCAUAUCAAUAAGCGGAGGA